AGAAGUUCGGCAUUCACGGUCCAGGCGUCCAGCACACCGAAAUUUCAGUUGAAGCAGUUCGAAAAUUAUCUUUGUAGGACUCUCUAGUCUCUACCCAACAACACUGAAACCCACAAACCCAGUGGGCAUGGGUUCUCUUAUAAAUGAAUCAGAGAGAGAGAGAGAUGCAAGGAGGAGGAAGAGCCCAUUAUAGUAUAGCAAACCCAGAGAUUCUGUAUGUUUCGCAUCAGGUACUAGCAACUUUAGGAGAUGUACAACAAGGCUGAGGCUAGUUUUGGACUGCUGAGGAGGUUGAUCUCUCCCAGGAUGUACAGCUGUGGGAGGCUUUGAUCGACUCCAAGAAACACUUUAUAAGUAAUGUCCUGGCAUUUCUGAGGCAAGGUGAGGCCAAGGUUGCUCGACCUAGUUCUGUACCUCCCGCUGCUCUGAAGGUUAGUGGUGGAAUGAUGAAACUUGGCCCAGUCAAAACAAAGAUGCCUUCAGAACUGAGAGCUGCUUAGGAUGGGGUUGACAUAAUAAGCUUAUCAAUCACUCCCAAUAGAUGUCCUCCUGGAGUUGCAACAUUUUUCAACCCCAUAGAUAUGGCUUCACUAUCAGCCGUAAAGGUAGGUAUAUUUGUUGUCCAAGCAGCAGGAAAUACCGGACCAUCACCAAAAAGCAUAUCUUCCUUCAGUCCAUGGAUCUUCACUGUUGAUUCUGCUUCUCAUGACAGAACCUACAGCAACUCUAUAACCCUUGGCACAACGUCACCAUUCCUGGAAUUGGACUUACACCUGGUACACAGAAAGAUACAAUGUACACACUGAUUUCUGCAAUACAUGCUUUCACUGAUUUCUGCAAUACAUGCUUUGAAUAAUGACACAAUA